rnacentral:rRNA from 1 species
UACGGGGGGAGCAAGCGUUGUUCGGAUUUACUGGGCGUAAAGGGCGCGUAGGCGGCCACCGCAAGUCGACUGUGAAAUCUCCGGGCUUAACCCGGAAAGGUCAGCCGAUACUGCGGGGCUAGAGUGCAGAAGGGGCAACUGGAAUUCUCGGUGUAGCGGUGAAAUGCGUAGAUAUCGAGAGGAACACCUGCGGCGAAGGCGGGUUGCUGGGCUGA